rnacentral:rRNA from 1 species
CAUUGUAGCAAUACAAGGCAUACGGCUCAGUAACGCGUAGUCCCCUAACCUAUGGACGGGAAUAACCUCGGGAAACUGAGAAUCAUGCCCGAUAGAACAUUAUGCCUGGAAUGGUUUAUGUUCCAAAUGAUUUAUCGCCGUAGGAUGGGACUGCGGCCUAUCAGUUUGUUGGUGAGGUAAUGGCCCACCAAGACUAUUACAGGUACGGGCUCUGAGAGGAGUAGCCCGGAGAUGGGUACUGAGACACGGACCCAGGCCCUAUGGGGCGCAGCAGGCGAGAAAACUUUGCAAUGUGCGAAAGCACGACAAGGUUAAUCCGAGUGGUUUCUGCUAAAGAAACCUUUUGUCAGUCCUAGAAACACUGAUGAAUAAGGGGUGGGCAAGUUCUGGUGUCAGCCGCCGCGGUAAAACCAGCACCUCAAGUGGUCAGGAUGAUUAUUGGGCCUAAAGCAUCCGUAGCCGGCUCUGUAAGUUUUCGGUUAAAUCUGUACGCUCAACGUACAGGCUGCCGGGAAUACUGCAGAGCUAGGGAGUGGGAGAGGUAGACGGUACUCGGUAGGAAGGGGUAAAAUCCUUUGAUCUAUUGAUGACCACCUGUGGCGAAGGCGGUCUACCAGAACA